CAAACGAGCACUUUUGCUAAAUACAUUUUGAAAACAGUUAAUUGAUACAGUUAAUACAAUCGAUCAAUUGACCAAUUGUUGUGGUCAGGUAAAGCUGUAAAUUAGAGACAAAACAGGGUAUCCGCAGGGUCUUGAAGUAUUAAAAGGUGAUAAAUCAAUUUUGGGAAAAUUAAGACCCUUAAAAAGUAUUAAAAAGUCUUAUCACGGCUUUAUAAAGUCUUACAUUUUGAAAGUAUUUUUUCUGAAUUAGCUGUCCAACAGUUUGAGUCCCAAAAACAUCGUAAAAGUGUGUGAAUUUAGUCAUUUUUAUUAAAAAAACGUACAGGUACAUAAAAAACUAGGCUAUUGUGGGUGCGUUCUUAAAUUGCCUCUGAGAGCACCAGAGCGGGCAGGCGGGCGGAAGUUCAAAAGCACAAUGUACGCUCUGGCGUUCCCAGUGCGUAUUACAACGCACCGAAAUGUUUUAAGAGAAGGUUGGUGAACGCAUGAACAGAAUGGGGAAGUGCAAAUUUGCAACGUCCUGGCUGGAAAUGCUGGACUUCAAAGAGUGGCUGCAGCCAGUCGAGGGGAAUGUCAGGGAGGCAUAUUGUACAUUAUGCAAGAAAAAAAUAAGUAUUGUGUCAAUGGGCAUUAACUCGUUAAAGUCCCACAUGUGUUGUGCUAGCCACAAAGCCGCUGCUAGCCGCCGAGAGCGGCAGCUCUCCAUCGCUAGCUUCUGUGGUAAUCGCGUUGCGCCACCACAACCUAGUGCCAACGUCGUUAAACCACCGGCAGUCGCACCUGAAGCUACAGCUACGACCCGGGCUGUCUCUGCUUCCUCAUCUUCUGCAGCCGACAUCAGAGUGGCUCUGGGCGGCACAGCAACACUGCGUGCUGAGGUGUUGUGGUGUCUCCACACAGCGGAGAAACACCAUUCACUGAACUCAAACGAAAACUUGGCUGAAGUUUUCAAGGCUAUGUUUCCAGAUUCGGAUAUAGAAAAGUCGUUCACUUGUGGCUAGGACAAAACUGGAUACAUCAUACGAUUCGGGUUAGCACCCAACAUGGCAUCAUGACUUCAAGCAGGAGCUCAUCAACACCAUCAACAAGGCUGGCCAGUUUGUGUUAAUGUUUGACGAGUCGCUCAACCAGUCAACAAAAACGAAACAGCUUGAUGUCCACAUUCGAUUCUGGGAAGAUGACCGUGUCCAAUCUAGGUACCUAGCCUGAAAAGGAAACGAACGGUUCUGACAGAGGUGUGCGACUCCCUCCAAACAGAUGCUGAUAAGUUAGCCGAGCAGGCAGAGGGGAAAUCUGGGAAAUUAAUGGCACAACUGAUCACGAAGUCCAACAUCCUCAGAAGACGUAGUAAAGAAAAACGGAACGAAUUGGUCCAAACUGAGAAGCUGCUGGGAACAAAAUCAGAAGGACUGAGGCACAUGUCAGCAUGAUUGUUGUUGAGGGUGGAGCAAAGUUUUGUUUUGUUUUUUAAUAAACUUUGCUUUGAUUUACUA